rnacentral:rRNA from 1 species
GUGGGGAAUUUUGGACAAUGGGGGAAACCCUGAUCCAGCCAUCCCGCGUGUGCGAUGAAGGCCUUCGGGUUGUAAAGCACUUUUGGCAGGGAAGAAACGGCGCUGAAUAAUACUUGGCGCAACUGACGGUACCUGCAGAAUAAGCACCGGCUAACUACGUGCCAGCAGCCGCGGUAAUACGUAGGGUGCAAGCGUUAAUCGGAAUUACUGGGCGUAAAGCGUGCGCAGGCGGUUCGGAAAGAAAGAUGUGAAAUCCCAGAGCUUAACUUUGGAAUGGCAUUUUUAACUACCGGGCUAGAGUAUGUCAGAGGGGGGUAGAAUUCCACGUGUAGCAGUGAAAUGCGUAGAGAUGUGGAGGAAUACCGAUGGCGAAGGCAGCCCCCUGGGAUAAUACUGACGCUCAUGCACGAAAGCGUGGGGAGCAAACAGGAUUAGAAACCCUAGUAGUCC